AGAGCGAACGCUGGCGGCAGGCCUAACACAUGCAAGUCGAGCGGCCGUAGCAAUACGGCAGCGGCAGACGGGAGAGUAACACGUGGGAACGCGCCCUUCGGUUCGGAAUAACUCAGGGAAACUUGGGCUAAUACCGGAUACGCCCUUACGGGGAAAGAUUUAUUGCCGAAGGAACGGCCCGCGUCCGAUUAGCUUGUUGGUGAGGUAACGGCUCACCAAGGCGACGAUCGGUAGCUGGUCUGAGAGGAUGACCAGCCUCACUGGGACUGAGACACGGCCCAGACUCCUACGGGAGGCAGCAGUGGGGAAUAUUGGACAAUGGGCGCAAGCCUGAUCCAGCCAUGCCGCGUGGGUGAUGAAGGCCCUAGGGUUGUAAAGCCCGUUUCGGGCGGGGAAGAUAAUGACGGUACCCGCAGAAGAAGCCCCGGCUAACUUCGUGCCAGCAGCCGC
rnacentral:rRNA from 1 species